rnacentral:rRNA from 1 species
UACGAAGGGGGCUAGCGUUGUUCGGAAUUACUGGGCGUAAAGAGCUCGUAGGCGGCUUGUCGCGUCGGAUGUGAAAGCCCGGGGCUUAACUCCGGGUCUGCAUUCGAUACGGGCAGGCUAGAGUUCGGUAGGGGAGAUCGGAAUUCCUGGUGUAGCGGUGAAAUGCGCAGAUAUCAGGAGGAACACCGGUGGCGAAGGCGGAUCUCUGGGCCGAUACUGACGCUGAGGAGCGAAAGCGUGGGGAGCGAACAGG